ensembl:lincRNA Miat myocardial infarction associated transcript (non-protein coding)
CCCUUUGUGAGGCGCGGGAGAGAUGUGCACCCCACAUCUCUUUGCUUGAGUCCUGGUCCGCAAGAUGGGUGCUUGUUCGUGUGCCCCGCCCCACCCCCACGCCCGAGGCCGGGUGCGGCAACUCCGCCCGCCAGCCGCUCCUGCAUUAAAAUUUCAUGGGCGCUGCAGUAAACGCGAAGACGACGCCGGCUGCGCUGGGGGGCCGUAGGGAGGGAGGCUGCGGACCAGAGCGGGGAGGAGUUUGCGAGGGGAGGCGCUUGGGAGGACUCCCCCAGUUCUGUUAAGAGCUGGGCACAAAGAGCCCUUUGCACUCCAGCCGCAGGAGCGAGGAGGAGCCGAGCUAGAUGCACAUGGGCGUGGGGACUCCGGUACAACACCAACCCACAAGGUUAGCAGCCCUUACCAUUCCUCCACUUAUGGGCCUUAUCCCAGACCUGGGGCGUCCAGCGCAGCCUCAAACCCAGGGCAUCUCUGCACUCUCAUCGCGACGUCGCUCUGGAUGCUGUUUGCAUAUCCUUGGGGAGUCACUGCUUUGGCACAACAGUCCUGCGAGGUGCUGGAAUUCCGUCUGUUCUCAUCACACGGACAUGGCUGAUCUGUCUCAGUGGUACCUGGGGGCAAAGCAGGGAGCCGGGCGGUGGAGGCCAACAUUGUUACCAAGUUGGCUCUGUCUCAACACAGGGACUGAGCCUUCUGAGCCUCAAGAGUUCCUGCUGGUUCCCAGGUGGUGGAAGAGUGGAGAGAUUUGGGAAAGGUCACGACUAGCCUGCAAAGCAGCCUUGCAGAUAAGUAUCAUUUCACCAGCCUGCCUGCUCUCUGCUGGUGCGUGUGAGAAAGGGUCAGCUCUGGAAUCCCCAACGGGAGGGAGGAUGGCCAUCCUGUGACUCUGGCUCUUGAAGAUGUCAUUUGUAAGCUUGAACAGGCUCCUGGGUCUUGCAGACACAGGGGGACCUCCUCAGGGUUCCUCCACUCAGGAUCCUCCAGGAUCCUGGGACAGUAGGCUCUAAGAGCAGCUAUGAGAUGUCUCACCUUCCUUGGCUCGGGGUUUGGAGGACAGAUGUAGCAUGACUGUCAGGAAAGAGCAAACCUGAGUCCUGGUGUGGAAUGCAGGCACUCCCUUCUCUCUUCCACCACCCUGGUGACUUGCAGUGGUCCACACAAGCUCUGCACACUUUGGCCACCUGUUUUUUUGUUGUGGGAGUCACAGGAAGGAGGGGACUGAGGUGGGCAGAGGGCUGCUUUCAUUUCUCAACCAUGCCUUGAAUGGCCACUAUAGUUCCCUUGUGGGACAGGGCAGGGAUCAGAGAGAGGCACAGGCUUCCAGCAGCCGGGACAGUUCUAAGCUUAGAGUUCUAGAUCCCCCUCUGUCAGCACUGCUCACCCUGUUGUCCCCUAUCUGCCCAGUUUACUUUGAGUUUUUCUGGGUCACACAAGAACCCACAAUGCUCUAGGUGACAGAGGAGGAGGAGGAGGAGGCAAAUGGCUCCUGAGCCAAGGCAGGGCUUGUGCAAGGUCAUCUCCUGGGGUGCAUCUUGUGUGUGUGUGUGUGGGGGGGUAGCUCUUCUGUCUUCCAGAGUCAUCCAGUGAUGUCUGUGUGGAGGAGGAGCUAGGAGCUAGGCCUUCCAUGAUGUCGAUGAUGUAAUGAUGUCAGGUGGUACUGCUGGGUGUCCAGGGGUGAACGCCAGAGAGAUGGCCCACCCUCUGUGAUCUUCAAGUACGACAAUGCAUCACUACAGCUCAGCAAGCGGACAGCUCUGCACAUCUCCAGACCCUGAUCUGUCUUGGAGCCCUGGAGAUCCCUUGGAUUCUGACCUCCUGGAACUGGGGAGCAACCUGUCUCCCUGAAGACCCUAUCCUUCCCAGUACCUGAGAUGGACCCCCCACCCCCCGAAGAAGAGCCAUUCCUGGAAGAUGUACUACUUAGGAGUCACCCUGUCUUUCAUGGACAGCUCCAGGGGGUUGGGGGGAGGCUGCAGCUUAGAAUGGGGGGGGGGCACCGGAGGCCUCUUUUCAUCCCAUGUGGACUGGAAUCCUCCAGUCUCUGGAAAUGGGGUGGAGCUAGGCCCCCUCCUGGCCACAGGGUGGUGUCUCAAAGGACCUGUGGGUAGGGCAGGGACUCUAUAGGCUCGGAGGAGGAGCUGAUGGGGAGGAGUCCAAUGUCUGUCUUUGUCUGUUUUUCUUUCUUUCUUUCUUUUUUCCGUUUCCAUUCCUUUUCUUUUUUUGUCUGUUUGCUGCUUGAGUGAUGAGUCUGUUUGGGUGUUUCCUGGGGUGAGGCUUAGCUCCCUGCUGGUUGUGGGAAGAGGACAGCCAGCCAGUCCUGGUCUGGGAGGAGCCUGGCUAGCCCCUGUGCUAUUCAGCACAGGAAGGAACCUUGGAAAGAGAAAGGGGGCAGUCUAAGAUAAGGAGACCUAGUAGGGAGGUUCACAGGCAGAACCAUAGCCCCAGCUUCCUCUAGUCACUGGAGAAUGGGCUGCACCCAGUCAGUUACAAAGGCUUUGCCCAGGACAUGGGAGUGCCCAGCCUGUACCCCAAUCCAUAUUGCAUAGCUGCAGAGGGACAGAGGCUGGCACAUACUCCCUCCUCAGGGCCCAGUGCCCAGUAUAACCUGUCCGUUCUUCGCCUCUUGUCAUAGCCCUGGAGGAGGGUCUACAACCAGCAACGGAGCACUGUAUGGCCUUCCUUGGGACAGUCUAGAAACAGGAAUCCCUUGACUGGGGUAGGGGUGGGGCAGUUGCUUAUUCUGCGUCCUGGCCUGUGGUGCUCAGCCCCAGAGACUCACACCACAGGGCUUGAGGCUGGCAAAACAAGACCAAGGUGCCAGCGGUAGCUUAUGUCUUCACGGAGUCUUUCUCUGUGUCCAGAGUGAGUGAGCGAGGCUCCAGGGAUUUGUCCAUGACAGCCUUGCCAUUUCAGGAUCCAGGCUUACGAAUGACCUCAUCUGAGCUCGGUGGUCUUGUCUCUCUGUGCCUUCACAGAGGGCCUAGAGAUUCAGCCUGUGCCUCUCGGGGGAGGGGGGGACUCUGACAGGGUGGUCUCACAGACAUGAGCAGCUAGUCUCCCCUUCAGAGUUCCUCACAUAGGAAGGAACAGACAAACAUAAGAUGGGUACAGGGUUGCUGGCAUUGUGCCAGUUGUCUUAGGGACAUACACGGUGGCUGCAGCCAGUACAGAGCCAGCUCAGGUCUCAGGGUACCCUCUACAAGCCCCCUUGUCUCUACCAGCUUUGAUUUCCACAUGUCAUGUGGACCAUAUGCUCUCUUGGUGGCCUAGGCAGCUCUCAGGCAGACCUGUGCCUGACUCAGUGCUGGGCACUCAGCAGAUGCACCAUACAGUUCUGUUCAGUGGGAGUGUAGGGAGUUUAGGUGAGGGUUCAUCUGGGUUGGAUACAGUCUGAUCCAGAGGCAUUUCUGGCUGGGCCACUCAGGUCUGCCUUGCUGACCAGUCUGGAGCAGUGGCCACCUUUGGUUUCUGUUGUAGCUUACCAUGUUUUCCAGAAGGAGAUGAACCUUGUUUCCUGCUAGACCAUGGAUCCCACCAUGGUUCUUUUAUUUGUGUAGCCAUCUUGGGAAAUACAGGUGCUAUGCAACCACACCUCAGACAUUUACAACUUUGUAGUCAUCAGAGAGAAGCUGUGUCCAGGAAGAAUUAGACAAUAGGCAGUCAAGAGAGGCCAGCUCUGGCACGAGGGAGGAAGUGACUUCCUAGUCAGGCUGACCCCCACUGGGACGUUGGAGGAUGAGAAAGGUAUGGCUUGACUGAGUGCUUUUGGAAAGAAAUUAAAGCAAAAUUCAAAUAGGUCAAAUACAGGGUAGGACUUUUCAGAGCCUCAAAGUGCUAAUGGGCACCUCAGACACUCAGGCUGGGACGGAAGGAUGAGAUAUUAUCUGUCUUUGCUGGCUACAGAAUUAUUUUCUUACCAAACAUAUAGAAUGCUGGGAGACAGCAUUAGGCUUUAGAAGUGCGCUCAGGUGUCCUAUUGUCGCCUGGGAGGAAAGAGAAGCUGGAGGGGUGGGGCUUAGGGGAGUCCAAACUUUGCUUUAGGACUCAGGCUAGGUUCCUUGCAGUUCUUUCUUUGUAGAGGAGGCCAGUGGUGGGAGCAGCCAGAGACCCGGGAGUUGGUGAUGGAAGAGAUGUUCAUUUUCAAGGGCAGCAGCUCUGGGGGGUUGGGGGUGGUAGUGAGAUGCUGGUGUGUGUGUGUGUGUGUGUGUGUGUGUGUGUGUGUGUGUGUGUGUGUGUGUGCUGGUGCGCACACGCACAAGCAUAUGAGGAGAUCCUUCUGGGAAGAGGCUGGCCACAACCAGGCAGGGGGUUUGCACUGAGGACAAGCUGGGUACAUUUUUAGCAGAUCUGAAGUGUCUGUGGAGCUCCAAGACCCACAGCCUAGAAACGGAAGCUCUGGGCUUCCAGUAUGGGGUUCCUACGGUGGGUGUUGAUGGGAUAUAGAGGCAGACCCCCUGCCCAGGUCAGGCCCCAUGCCCACGCUGGUGGGGACAGGAGGCCUGUGGUGGGGAGGCAGAGGGCCGGAGGGGGGUUGAAAGGGGAAGGCUGCAUGGUGUGAUUAACCUACUAACCAACCCAGGGCUCGGCCAGGACGCUGUGGCACGCGACGAGAUGCCUGGCCUUCUGUCAACCGACUAAUCCACUAACCUGGCCCGAGCAUGUCCUACUAACCCCGCAGCAGCCAAACCCUACUAACUCUGCAGGCCAGGGGCCUUCCCAGAGGCUGGGACGCGGACAAGGCUCAGGAAGGCCCUGCCUGGGGGCUGGGAUCUAUGUGCAGACCCAUCCUGCGGGACAGGGUAUGCUAAGAGACUCACCAACUCUGCCGCUCCCUGCUGGCGGAACGGGACCCUUCUACUUCCCUUGAUGCCCGUGGUGAGGUGACCGAGGUGUUGCCGCAUGGCAGGGACUUCAAAAUGGAAUAAGACACGCUGAGGGCGGGCCUCGGGGGACUCGGUGGUACGCCCAUUCUCUGAUCUCGGGUGUUCUGCACACAGACCCUUCUACCUGGGGCAGACAUGUGCUUUGAGUCCUUUAACGUCUCUUCCCUUUCUCCCCUCUUGCCAGCUUUCUCUCCCAUAGGCAGCUCUUUUGAUUACUAAUUGUCUAACCCCGGGGCACCCCACUCUGCACCCUGCUGCCCCUUAACUAACGGCCACCCCGCUGCCUUCUUCUCUCUAGUGGCUCCCGUGUGUGUCUGCUGAUGCUGUGCUACUAACCCGGCCCUACUAACUGGUUUCUCUUCUUACUAACCCAGCCCUGCCGAGCUCUGGGCUUCCUGGGGGCUGGUCCCUCCUUUUGGCAAGCAGAUGUCCCCAGGCUGUCCAGGCCAGAUCUGAGGCAGGGGACAGCCGUAUUUAGUGACGCCCAGAGGAGGAGGAGGAGGAGGCUGUCCUGUGGACGUGGGACGCUGGGCUCCGAGCAUGACCUCUCUCCUCUGUGCACAAGUCUGGUUGCCACCAGGAGUGGAUGGGACCAGGGGACCUCGUGGGAACCAUUGUGGUGCCCGUGGCUCUAGAAUUGGCAAUUCUGGGCCCUACCUAGCUGGGGCCCUCUGUGAUUUAGGGCAGGGAGAGAGGGGUAGGAACAUCAGGGGCUGGCCAUCUUGUACAGGAGCUCAAAGUGUGUGUCUGAACCCAAAGCCCUACCUGGGAGCUAUAAACAUGUUUCCUAAGCAGGAAACAUGUGAGGGGCCAUUUCCCUGAAACACCACAGCGCAGAGAAGCCCGAGGAGAGAGGGCAUCAGGAAGUUUGUAAGAGGGCCUUUCUCUCAGCCUGAGAAGAGAUGGCCGAUGACCAGUAAGAAGGUUCUCCAAAUAGGCGGUCAACUAGCCAGGCCUUUCCCACUGAGAGAGGCGGAAAUCUCAAACUGGAAGUCUAUUUGGGAUCAUUUUUCACACAGGAAGUAGGUGUGAGGAUAUUUUUUUCCCUCAGGAAGUGUUUAGAAACACUCUCUCCACACUUAGAGAGGACAGGCUGCCAGUUGUCCUGAUGCACAGUCGGGAAGCGUCUCUACGGGCCCUUAGGGCUUAUGGGAGGGGCAAAUGGGUGCCAGGAAGUGAAUCUUAGAAGCCCACAGGCAGAUGGGAAGUCACCCCAGCUCCUUGUUCGGUUUAUAUCCAUGCCCCUGCCCCAGCCAGCCUCCCCCAGAGCCCGCCAGCUGCUAAGCCAGGGCCACACCUGGGGGUGAUUUCAUGCCUCACCUCCAGUAGGCUCAUGGCCUCUCUGGGCUAACCUCUGGCUCUUUUGCACUAACUCUAGCUCUCCCCCAGCUAAUCCCUGCCUUUCCCUGGCUGCCCCAGGGGCUGACCACUAGCAGCCAGCCCCGCCCACCCGCGGGGCUCCAGGCUCCUUUAAACCAACCACCCUUUCCUCUGGACUAAUGUUUGCCUUUCUGGUCUGUUCCUUCCGGCAGAAAUGAAUGGCUGUGGAUUUCUCUCUGACUAACAGGUCUCAUACUCCUCUCCCUGUUACCACUAACGGCUUGGAUGAUGGCGGCGUGGCUGGCGAGGGAUGGGCGGAGGUGCUGAGCUUGGUUGCUAUGGGGAGGAUGUAGCUAGUGAGAGUAGACACGUGACCGGUCUGGGUCAGAACUUCCAAAUGUCAAUCAAAGUGCUAACCGGGCUGGGGUGUGGCUCAGCCCAGAAGAAAGGAUACUGUCUACUGAGCAUUUUGGUGGGACCAGACUUACAGCUAACCUUCCAUGGGUGUGGCCACUGGCUCCAUCCAAUAUAGCCUUACAAUCUACAUUGGCCGUUAGCUCCUGUAAACUACAGCGUCAGUUCUUGCAAGCAGUUCUUAGCUCAUAUAGGAGCCUAAGACACCUGUCUGGUGGGCCCAAUUUGUUACCUAUGGACUCAUUGAGCACAAGGUCAUGGCCUCCCUUGAGUCUUUGUUUAGGAGACUUACGGAGUUUUGGCCCUAUGACAACGUCAAACUCCAGAUAGAAAUACAUUCUCCAUCGCUUACACCCUAGAGUAAAAUAGUUCGACCUUUACCUCCAAGUCUUCUAAGGCAGAUCUUUUACACAGGGUAGGUGUGCAGAGGGCAGGGAGUGUGGCUGGCAGGGAGUUAGGAACCCUUAAGGCAAGGGGAAGUCCUCUGGAAGCAGCGGCAGAAAGCCAUGAGGCCAUAGGACCCUUGUGGAGCUGAGGGUGACACCAGAUUGAAGUGGGCAAGAGAAGAGAGCAUGUUUCACAGAGUGAUCUGGAAGCCAGAGCUUAGAAGGCUGGAGGUUCAAGGACAGGCUGCCUGAUCUGUUGGUGCUGUGAGAACUGCUUACCCACGGGCUUAGGACUGACUGUAGAGAUGCCAGAGAGUCUACGGAGGGACCUGAGCCACGGAGGAAAUGGAGAGACCCCGUAGGAACGUGGGUUUACCUCCAGGUACGGCUUGUACGUACUCGCUGCUGCCCUCUCAUGGCCAAUCUUCCACAUUUCACCAACAAUGCCCUGAGAAAGGCUGCACAGGGGACUUUGCUCCGGAAACUGAGCAGAAGCCUGAUCACAAAAGGCCUGACAGCGUCCCAGUUUGGGACAGUAGCUGGUCCCUGGUGGCUGUAAUUAUGUGUGGUGGGCCCUGGAUACUGAAGGGGGCAGGGAUCAGGAGAGCUAAGACGAGGUAGGCAGGGAGGGCUCGCUGAAGGGGGAUCAUGCCAGCUAAACCUUGACAGGCAGGGAGGGCAUGGCUGGAACAAGUCACGCUCGAUUUAGGGUUAGAGAGCAACCAAACAAGAGUCUGGAAGAUUCAUGGGGAGGUGUAUAAAGUGAGAAGCUCAAUAUGUGACAAGCCCCAGGCCUCAUUGGCUGUAAAAGACAGACUUCAUUCCUUGGGAUACCAGAUAUAGUCUGUAAUUGUAACCCCAGCAGUUGCACAAUAGAGACAGAUCUCUGGGGUCUGCCUGCCUGCCAGUCAGCCAGUCUAGCUAGCAUCAUAUGAUCUGAGAGAGAAGGUGGCAGGCAGGGCCAGAGUUCUCAGGCUGCCUUGGUCGAGUCAGCCCAGGUGGGGCAGGGAGGAGCUUGCCUUGUGCGCUGGCCACAUUAUAGAAACCACCAGAACUUCUGGUAGCUGGGAAGACACUUCGGUCCAUCUGGAGAGGAGCGGGGGUUCAUAGUGUGCCACCCUUCACUGGGGAUCGUGAGAAAUCCCCGGAAAGUAAGGGACUGAGGGGACAACGAGGAACUUGAAACUUAACACAGGCCCCGGUGGUGUGCACCUCCUCCAGAAGAUCUGGAGAUAGGUGGUGUUGGCAGUGAUGGUGGUGAUGGUGUGUGUGUGUGUGUGUGCAUGAGAGAGUGAGAGAGACGGUAGAGAAAAGAGAGGCUAUAACUCGAGAAAACGGAGUCCCUGAGGCUCGUUCUAAUCGCCUGCAUCUGGGCUGCCCCUGCCCCCUAAUUCCAUUCAACUUUAGGCUUGUUUGAGCAGGACACUGUGCGAGCGGGACUGGCCUCUUGUCUGAAGAGCUCAUAGCCUGCUUGGAGGGAGGAGCCUCGGUGGCUCCUCCCCGAGGGUGGGGCUGGAGACAGCGAGGAAAGCCUGGUCCUGUCCACUCUGGAAUCUGUCUAGGGAACCCAUUGUUUUAUAACCAUCUCAGCAAAGUUGUCUGUUCCAUGUUGUUCCUGCUGGGAGAGACUGAGCGUGGGGCCCUAGAAACCUGAUGUAGAUUAAAAGAUGUAGAUACUUCCAUGGGUCCAGCCACAAUUACGGGCUCUUUUGGUUUUCAUGCUUGUAGCUGCCUCUGUGUAAGAUGCCAUUUCAAUAUUAAAACCGACACACACUG